rnacentral:rRNA from 1 species
AGCGAACGCUGGCGGCAGGCCUAACACAUGCAAGUCGAACGAAGUCUUCGGACUUAGUGGCGGACGGGUGAGUAACACGUGGGAACGUGCCUUUAGGUUCGGAAUAACUCAGGGAAACUUGUGCUAAUACCGAAUGUGCCCUUCGGGGGAAAGAUUUAUCGCCUUUCGAGCGGCCCGCGUCUGAUUAGCUAGUUGGUGAGGUAAAGGCUCACCAAGGCUACGAUCAGUAGCUGGUCUGAGAGGAUGACCAGCCACAUUGGGACUGAGACACGGCCCAAACUCCUACGGGAGGCAGCAGUGGGGAAUCUUGCGCAAUGGGCGAAAGCCUGACGCAGCCAUGCCGCGUGGAUGAUGAAGGUCUUAGGAUUGUAAAAUCCUUUCACCGGUGAAGAUAAUGACUGUAGCCGGAGAAGAAGCCCCGGCUAACUUCGUGCCAGCCGCCGCGGUAA